rnacentral:rRNA from 1 species
UACGUAGGGUGCGAGCGUUAAUCGGAAUUACUGGGCGUAAAGGGCGCGUAGGCGGUGUGUCAAGUCAGGCGUGAAAGCCCCGGGCUCAACCUGGGAACAGCGCUUGAGACUGGCACGCUCGAGUUCGGGAGAGGAUGGUGGAAUUCCCAGUGUAGAGGUGAAAUUCGUAGAUAUUGGGAAGAACACCGAAGGCGAAGGCAGUGUCCUGGCUGGUGACUGACGCUGAGGUGCGAAAGCUAGGGGAGCGAACGGG